AGCUUCUGCUUACAUGGGUGGCGGCGGUGGUUAUGCUGCUGGGAAUGGGAACUCGGGAUAUCAAGCUUCCUGGAGGUCGAAUCCUUCACAAGGUGGAGGUUAUGGAGCUGGUCAGGUGAACGGCCCUCCUGGUGGGCCUGCUAGUUAUGGCAGUGGUGGGUAUCCUGGUGCUCAACACCAGUAAUGGUGAAUGCUGCCAUUUCUUUUCAAACUGCGAAUCUGUGCUCAUUGUUUAUUUUUUAAUGUUGAAUUGUG
rnacentral:misc_RNA from 1 species